AUUGAACGCUGGCGGCAGGCCUAACACAUGCAAGUCGGACGAGUGGCGGACGGGUGAGUAAUGUAUGGGAACCUGCCUGAUGGAGGGGGAUAACUACUGGAAACGGUAGCUAAUACCGCAUACCAUCAGAUGAACCCAUAUGGGAUUAGCUAGUAGGUGGGGUAACGGCUCACCUAGGCGACGAUCCCUAGCUGGUCUGAGAGGAUGACCAGCCACAUGGGAACUGAGACACGGCCCAGACGCCUACGGGAGGCAGCAGUGGGGAAUAGUUCGCAAUGGGCGCAAGCCUGAGGCAGCCAUGCCGCGUGUAUGAAGAAGGCCUUCGGGUUGUAAAGUACUUUCAGUCGGGAGGCGUUACCCACAGAAGAAGCACCGGCUAACUCCGUGCCAGCAGCCGCGGUAAUAC
rnacentral:rRNA from 1 species